UGGGGAAUAUUGGACAAUGGGGGGAACCCUGAUCCAGCGAUGCCGUGUGUGUGAAGAAGGCCUGCGGGUUGUAAAGCACUUUAGUUGGGGAGGAGAGUGGUGAUGUGAACAAUGUUGCCAUGAGACGUUACCCAAAGAAUAAGCACCGGCAAACUCUGUGCCAGCAGCCGCGGUAAUACAGAGGGUGCGAGCGUUAAUCGGACUUACUGGGCGUAAAGGGCGCGUAGGCGGCGGCCUAAGUCGGUUGUGAAAUCCCAGGGCUCAACCUUGGAACUGCAAUUGAUACUGGGCGGCUAGAGUCGAAGAGAGGGAAGCGGAAUUUCCGGUGUAGCGGUGAAAUGCGUAGAUAUCGGAAGGAACACCCGUGGCGAAGGCGGCUUCCUGGCUUCAGACUGACGCUGAGGCGCGAAAGCGUGGGUAGCGAACA
rnacentral:rRNA from 1 species